rnacentral:lncRNA from 1 species
AUUCUAUUAAAAUUACUUCAAUGAAGUUAUGAUUUUUGCUCUCACCGAUUUUGCUAAAUCAAGGAGAAGUCUCUUCCAAGAUUUAUUUCAUUUUAAGAAAACAAUCAGUAUUAAUCCUGAGUUCAAGAACACAUCUGUUCAUCAGCUGCUAAUAAUAAUAAACUCUCUUCAAAGGGGAUGUUUGAUAAGAGAACCUCAAAGCCUUCAUCAUAAUUUGUCUCUGUGUGUUGACCCUAUGUCCCUCAGUGGUUCAGUGACAGAGGCAGUGAUUUCAAAGCCUGAAAUGUUUCUAGAAUGCCAGAAAUUAGCAUCUGAUUCACUACUCUCACAGAAUGGCAGCAAAUUCUCUAAGAGAGUAAACAUGCAGGAUUGGAGCUUGAAAAAGCCAUGCUAAUAUUCUUCAAAUGAACCCUCAUUUGUCCUCUACAAAAAAAAAAAAAACGACAAGUAAAAAUCAUGAUUAACAUUUGAAGGAAGCUAAUUUGCAUAGGAAGGGCAGAGGUCUUCCUGAUGACACCUAAAGAAGAAAGAAAGCACAAAACAAAGGCAAAGAGCACAAAAAGUCAGCACAAAGGCCACACCUCAAGCCUGAUGCUUUUGUGCUCUUCCCAGAGAGCAUGACUUCACUUUCACUCUUGGGGGUGCUUUUUCAUCUCUUAAUACACAGUCUGCUUCUAACCCAAGCCUUCUGGAAUGACUUUCUAUCUCCUUGGUACAGCUACCAGGAUUUCACUGUUUUUCCUCCUGGAUGUAUUAAAAUUGUCCUUAAGGUUCACAAAAAUUCUUAAUAUCCAUUCUGUUUGGUCUUAUAAACUGGAAUUUACCAAUGAGUAAAAUUUAAAGCACGUACUUAAUAUUCUGAUUUGUACUCGGUUAGUAUGUCCAUAGCUGUAAAGUUGCAGUGUCACAGCAAGCUGGUCAGUGCUUUACCUGUCCAGUCAGAAACUCUGGAUGUGAGGAAUCUCACUCAUAAGUCCUCAGCUUCAAUGAGAUUUCCAUAUUUCAGACCUAUGGAAAGGGCCAUUCCCUGCAGAGAAUUUGUCGAUACACACACACACACACACACACACACACACACACACACACACACACAUAUAUAUAUAUAUAUUAUAUAUAUAUUACAUAUAUAUAUAUAUAAUUUUAUUUAUUUACAUUUCUAGUAUUAUCCCCCCUUCCGGUUUCCGGUUUCUGGUUUCCCCUCCGAAAGCCCCUAUAACCCUCCUUCCCCUCCUUCCCCUCCUUCCCCUCCUUCCACACUGCCCUGGCAUUCCCCUAUACUGGGAAUCAAUCCUUCACAGGUCCAAGGGUCUCCCCUCCCAUUGAUGCAGAUAAGGCCAUCCUCUGCUACAUAUGCAACUGGAGCACAUGCGUAUUCUUUGGUUGGUAGUUUAUUCCCUUGAACCUCGGGUGCAUCUGGUUGGUUGUUAUUGUUGUUCUUCUUAUAGGUUGCAAACCCAUUCAGCUCCUUCAGUCCUUCCCCUAACUCCUUCACUGGGGUCCCCGUGCUCAAUCCAAUGGCUCUGGCAGAGCCUCUCAGGAGCCUUAUGUGGCUCCUGUCAGCAAAGCACUUCUUGGCAUCUGCAAUAGUGACUUGGGUUUGGUAGCUUCAUAUGGAAUGGAUACCCAGGUGUGGCAGUCUCUCGACGGCCUGUGCUUCAGUCUCUGCCCCUUUCUUUGUCACUGUAUUUCCUUUAUACAGGAGCAAUUCUGUGUAAAAAAUUUUGAGGGCCCCAUCUGUCAACAGCAGGCUGUGCCUAAACUCUGGACAUGGUCUCUCCAGGUUCUCUCUCCCCAUUUUGGGUAUUUCAGCUAAUGUCAUCCCUGCUAUAUGCCGGGAGUCUCUUGCUUUCCUGGUGUCUGGGACUUUCUGUUGGCUAACCCUAGUUCCCCUUAUAUUUUUAAGUUUUAAUUCUCAAUUCUUAAGUGUAUUCUUAAAUCUUCUUAUAAUUUGGAAAGAAAAUUAUAGCAAUCAAUUUGUAUAUACAAGGGUAGUUUAAAAUCAAAAUAAGGACAUCAGCUGGAUAGAUAGAGCUUGGGUGUGGUUAUCUGUGGGAAGCUCUGCAUCAGUGAUUAAUAUGCUAAUCUCUCAUUCCUCUCUUCCUGUUCAUAGAGACUGUAAACUGCAAGCCCAGCUCAUUCUCCACCCUCAAGGCUGGUUCUCCUCCUUUUACAACUACCUUAAAGGCUCUCAUAAUUAACAGCUUGCAUUAAGUUCGAACUUGACAGCAUUUUUUCCUUUUUCUUUUCUUUUUCUUUUCAUUAUUGCAAUCAAUCUUGUGUCUUCCUUUCCCUGUGACAAAAUUUUGCUUAGAUUACAAUCAGCUAAGACUAUAACUUCAAGAAUCAGUACUCGGCUAUGCUAAUUGCCCUUGAUAAAUAGACUUUCUGAAUACUGAGCACUCUCAAAAAUGUUAACUCUUCCUACUCAGGUGCAGUUAUUAAUUUUAACAAGAACUAAAGGGAAUGGUAUUAUGCUCCAUUUUCCUUUCAUUCUAAAGAAAUCUCUUGUUAUUUUCCUGAUUACAAUCUUAAAUGGUUGUAUCGUUACUUAGCUAUUAACUCUUGUAAGCUAUCGUUGAAAAUUUCUAGAGGCUUUUUCCCAGACACUGACUUUGUUUAAGGAAUUCAAUUUAUUUUCUAAAAAUAGGGAGAGAUACAAGAAGAAAUUCAUGAUAGUAUAUGAGGCAGCUAUAUAAAGGCAUAGAAAAUCCCUGCUGCCUUAAGCCUUGUAAUCUUAAAGCAUACAUUGUUUUCUACCCUUAACUAAUGAAAUUGGUAGACAUUGUUAAAAUAAUAACCACUUAUGGAACCACUUUGGAAGUGUUUGGCUUUAUGUCUUUUCUGAUAAUCUCCCAAGAUGUAGCUUCUAUUCCAUAGCUGGAGAUAAAGUACCCCUAAGCCACAGAGCAACAAGUGACAUGGCAACUACUGCCAGCUGACUGAGACCUUCUGUUGCUCCUUAAUUUGGGCCACCAUCUAUCAAUAUUGGUGGGACAACACCUUAAAUCCAAGCAUUUAGAGGGUAGUGGCUGGUGAGUUUCAGGCCAGCCUGGUUUACAAAGCAGGUUCCAGGAUACACACAAACCCUUCUUGGGGAAAAAAAAAAUACACACACACACACACACACACACACACACACACACACACACACACCCUUUCAUCAUUUACUCUUGGCAAGUGCUAAAGUUAAUUUAAUAUCUAUUCCUGUACUGUCAACUGCUACAAGUUUAUUGAAAAGAACUCCUUCUUAUGGAAAAGAAUCUUGUGUAACUCAUUCAUUUCAAAUUAAUCUGAAGAUAAUUUAACACAU